CAACCCGGGGAAACUCGGGCUAAUACCGCAUAUGUCCUACGGGAUAAAGCAGGGGACCUUCGGGCCUUGCGCUAAUUGAUGAGCUCGCGUUAGAUUAGCUUGUUGGUGGGGUAAAAGCCUACCAAGGCAACGAUCUAUAGCUGGUCUGAGAGGAUGAUCAGCCACACUGGGACUGAGACACGGCCCAGACUCCUACGGGAGGCAGCAGUGGGGAAUAUUGGACAAUGGGGGCAACCCUGAUCCAGCAAUUCCGCGUGUGUGAAGAAGGCCUGCGGGUUGUAAAGCACUUUCAGUAGCCAAAAUGGGAUCUUACACUAAUAUUGUGAGGUCUUGAUGUUAACUACAGAAGA
rnacentral:rRNA from 1 species